UACGUAGGGUGCAAGCGUUGUCCGGAAUUAUUGGGCGUAAAGAGCUCGUAGGCGGUCUGUCACGUCUGCUGUGAAAACUCGGGGCUUAACCCCGGGCCUGCAGUGGGUACGGGCAGACUAGAGUGCGGUAGGGGAGACUGGAAUUCCUGGUGUAGCGGUGAAAUGCGCAGAUAUCAGGAGGAACACCGGUGGCGAAGGCGGGUCUCUGGGCUGUAACUGACGCUGAGGAGCGAAAGCGUGGGGAGCGAACAGG
rnacentral:rRNA from 1 species